AUUGAACGCUGGCGGCAUGCUUUACACAUGCAAGUCGAACGGUAACAGGUCUUCGGAUGCUGACGAGUGGCGAACGGGUGAGUAACACAUCGGAACGUGCCUAGUAGUGGGGGAUAACUACUCGAAAGAGUAGCUAAUACCGCAUGAGAUCUAAGGAUGAAAGCAGGGGACCUUCGGGCCUUGCGCUACUAGAGCGGCUGAUGGCAGAUUAGGUAGUUGGUGGGAUAAAAGCUUACCAAGCCGACGAUCUGUAGCUGGUCUGAGAGGACGACCAGCCACACUGGGACUGAGACACGGCCCAGACUCCUACGGGAGGCAGCAGUGGGGAAUUUUGGACAAAGGGCGAAAGCCUGAUCCAGCAAUGCCGCGUGCAGGAUGAAGGCCCUCGGGUUGUAAACUGCUUUUGUACGGAACGAAAAGACUCUCUCUAAUAAAGAGGGUUGAUGACGGUACCGUAAGAAUAAGCACCGGCUAACUACGUG
rnacentral:rRNA from 1 species